AAGAUCAGUGAGAAUCUGAUCCACCGUAUGACUAAGGUUUCCUGGGGAAGGCUCGUCCUCCCAGGGUUAGUCGGGAUCUAAGGCGAGGCCGCAAGGCGUAGUCGAUGACAAGCAGGUUGAGAUUCCUGCACUAGUUUAUUUUGUUUAAGCGAUGGAGGGACGCAGGAGGCUAAGGAAAGCGCACGGCUGGAAAAGUGCGUCCAAGCAGUAAGUCCGGUGGCGAGUGAAAUGCUUGCCGCCUUAAGGACAAGCUGUGAUGGGGAGCGAAAUUAAAGUAGCGAAGUUCCUGAUGUCACACUGCCAAGAAAAGCUUCUAGUGAGAAAUAAACUACCCGUACCGCAAACCGACACAGGUAGUCGAGGAGAGUAUCCUCAGGUGAGCGAGCGAACUCUCGUUAAGGAACUCGGCAAAAUGACCCCGUAACUUCGGAAGAAG
rnacentral:rRNA from 2 species